UACAAAAGUGCCAUGCUUCUCGACUAUCCGGGUAAUGCUAAACGCUUGAUUAAUGAAACAUUAGUUUCACUGCUAGCCUAAUCAACUACCCAAUUUCAUGGCCAGUUACACAAUCUCAUCCAAAGAACUGGACGAUUAGAUAUUAACAAACCCUCCUGUUCGAUUUUAUCCCCCAACCAGGAUUCUUACGUAUUCUUGCUGCUUUGAUUAUAUAUGGACAUGGGAAUAUAGAGUUGUCAAAGUAUCAUGUCGUCAAGCUCCAGUACACUAUACAUAAUCGACUCAUCUUUAACCCAUAGGAGUGUGUGAAUUUGUUUUUCAGAAGUUUUCCCAAAACACUGCAACCAGUGGCAAGUGGAUGAGCACAUCAGCAUUAAAACUUGAACUGUCAAUCAAAAGAAUAUUCAAAUAUUUAAGGAUGUCAAAUGCUGCAGUGAUGCAAAAUAGGGGCUUGAGAAAGUGGUGAUCUGUUUUAUUUGUGCAGAGUGCAUUUCCAUGGUUAUGCAAUCCUUUUGUUUAAAUUUUUUGAUCCAUUUGAUAUGUGGUUUGUGGGCUUGGUUGAUCUUAAACACAUAAAACCUAGAUCAUCCUGGUCUCUGACAUCCUAUAAUUUAUUUUGUAUGUGUGGCGAGCGUGCAAAUUUAUGUGAUUGCUGAGUUUCUCUUCUAUCCUGUUGUCUUAAGUCCGUCAUUUGUUUUAAUCUAAGCACUCAUGGCUGCAAUUUAAUGACAUUGUACUUAAAAUUCUAUCUUUCAGUCCCUACAGGAUCACGAACUGGAGCAGGCCAGGAUGUUAUUAAUCUGCUGGGCGCUAGCAUGUCUGAAGUGUGUCCGAGAAAAAGAGUUAUACCACAAGUAAGCUGAGAAACGGGAUUAACAAAAGUGUGUAUCCUGCAAUCAAAGUAGUUCCCUAGCGGAACUGCUGCGCAUAUGGGCGACGCCGGGUGUGAUGAUGGUGAUGUGCCCGGUGGCGAGCACCAAGGUAUCAACAUUCAAUGGCAUCAACAGGUUUUUCGGUCAUUAUUUAUGACAUUUGAGAGAGUUGUCCGAGCAUAAAUCGCCCUCACCUUGACUGCAUCAUACAACUGUUGCAUGAUACUCAGGAACUAAUGAAAAAUUAGAGAAGACAAGGAUAUCACCAAAUACAUGCAUCGUUCAAAUUUGGUUCUGGUUUUAAUAUUAAUUUACUUUUCAUAUAUGCCCAGUCCGAUUUGAAUAGUCUUUUUUAAUCCUGACAUGGACAUUUCUGAAAAUACAAGAACUCAUCAUAUACGUCAAAACUUAUUUUUAAAGAAGACUAAUUUUUGUAGGUUCUGAAAUUGUUUGCAGGUCGUCAUGUGUACACCUCCCUUUAUGAUAUAGUCACUGCAACGUACUUAUAUAUACCAUUCUAUUUAGAUCACUUAAGUUUUUUUACAGACUUCAACUGCAGCAGUUCAAUUAGAUGUUUUCUCAAUGCUUUGUGGGUGUUGUCGCCCAAGAUCAUGGUUGUAUCAGAGCAAGAUUCCAAUCAUAAUGGGUCAAAUCUUAUGGAGAGGCUGUCGGAAUCUCUGUACUUUUAUGCUGCAUUAUUUGACUGUUUGGAAUCUACACUUCCGAGGACAUAAAUAGAGAGAUCAACGCUAGAAAAGUUUCUUUUUGGAGAAGAAAUUAAAAACAUUAUAGCAUGAGAAGGUCGUGGAAGAAAGGAAGAACAUGAAAAGCUAGAUAGAUGGAUUCAAAGACUUGAGUUUGCAGGCUUCGGUAAGGUGCCUUGGAGCUAUUACGGAAUGUUGCAAGCAAGAAGAUUGCUACAAAGUUAUAGCUGCGAUGUUUAUCGAAUCAAAGAAGAAAAUGGAUCAGUGGUGAUCUCUUUUAUUGUUCCCGUUUCCCACUCAGUGCCAAUGUUUGUGGUACCAUCAGGGACAUGUCCAUGCUUCUUCUUUUUUUUAAUCCUAAUGGAGAUACGAAUAUUACAGGCUACGACAGAAAAUAUCAUUGUCGGUUCUUAUGUUUGGAUUGAAGAUCCAGAAAUAGCUUGGAUCGAUGGACAAGUUACAAAGAUUAAUGGACAAGAAGUUCAGAUAGAUACUAUUAUCUACUAGAGGAAAUUCGGUGUGUGAGCUAUUUAUUUUGCAUAGUAUUAUUUAACCAAGUCCUUCUUUGUUAGUUUUUGUGAUAUACGAAUCCUUCCCUGGGGUACACUAGACUUGUGGAAGGGUCUGCAGUGCUCUUCAAAAUUCGUUAAAAAGCCACUGCAACUAGAGAGUCAAAUCAUAUAUCCUUAUAUCAUUCAGUUCGCCAUAAGGCAGAUUGCAGGAGAAAAUAGUUCUCACGUAUUGUAAGUUUGGUGAGUUCUCCUGAAAGGUAUGCUUUAAAAUUAAAGUAAAUGGAUUAAAAUUGUUGCUACAUUGGUUUCGUAAUACAUUUUUAAUAAACUUGCUCUGUUUAUGAGACCUAAUUUCGAAUUAUUUUUUUUUUUAUCUAUUUCUAUGACGAUCAUCCAAAUAUCUUUUGGCUCUUCAUUUGUUGCUAGAGACGAAUAUACAAGAAAUAGGUUCCUGGAUUCCGUUUAAUGUUAUCAUUGCUCCAAUUUCGUUAUUAUCAUCUCUACUUAUCAUCAUGGUCGACCAGAAUUUGCCCCUUCUGUUCCUAAACAAUUUACUUUUUCCCAACAUGCAGGUGCUUCUAGCGGAGGACCCAGCGCCCAUGUGAACUGGCAUGUUUGAUGCAAAUCAAGUGAAAGGUAAGAAAUUUAUUCUCUAUAACAAGUUCCACAAUAAAUUUCCGUACCAAUUAAAUUUUAUGUUUUAGCUUUAAUAAUUUAGUACAGAUAGGGUUUUACUUCACUAGAAAUCUCCUUAAAAUAAAAAUUGAAAACUAAAAUAUAAAUUUUCCUAAAUUGGAUCGAAAUAUAGCAUAUAUUAUAUGUAAAAUGAUUGUCAGAAGAGAUAGAGAAAAAUUUCAGUGAAGUUAGAUUUAAAAAAAUAUAUUCACCUAUUGAUGGAAAAAUUAAAUUAGAAAAGUAGGGAAUUAUGUAUGAGAGGGUGUAUUGUGAUUGAGCGUGAUGCCUUCUAGAGGGCCAUUAGAUUAAAUUAAUCUAAGAACCCUUGUAGCUGUAGGAAAUGAAAGCGCAAGGUGUUUCUGAUGAUAAACUAUUACUUCUCAAGGGCAUGAGUAGAGUUUUCAGGUCAGGGGUUCUAACUGCAUGCUCUAAUGGGUGUUAGUGGUGCUGGACUAUUGGUAAAACAACUUUGAUGGAUGUAUUGGCUGGUCGGAAUUGGUGCUGGUUUCAUUGCUGAUGUUUUGGACAUGAGCAUUUGUGACGAAGUAAUUCAAGUAGGCAUUUUGGCAAAAGCUAUAAUGUCUUUGACUUCAGUUAAUAAAUUUUAUGGAGAGGCUCUUUUGAGAUUUUAUGCACAAUUAUCUGGCAAGAUUUUAGUCUAAAUUGCAUCAAGAGUAUGAUUACUAAGUAGGUAGUGAAUGUUCUAUUGAUUUUUGAGACAUCUUGAACAGGAAUUUUUUAAACAUAUGUUUUGAUA